GACGAACGCUGGCGGCAUGCCUAACACAUGCAAGUCGAACGGAGAUUAUUUCGGUAAUCUUAGUGGCGAACGGGUGAGUAACGCGUGGGUAACCUGCCCUCUAGAUGGGGACAACAUCCCGAAAGGGGUGCUAAUACCGAAUGUGACAGCAAUCUCGCAUGAGGAUGCUGUGAAAGAUGGCCUCUAUUUAUAAGCUAUCGCUAGAGGAUGGGCCUGCGUCUGAUUAGCUAGUUGGUGGGGUAACGGCCUACCAAGGCGAUGAUCAGUAGCCGGUCUGAGAGGAUGAACGGCCACAGUGGGACUGAGACACGGCCCAGACUCCUACGGGAGGCAGCAGUGGGGAAUCUUCCGCAAUGGGCGAAAGCCUGACGGAGCAAUGCCGCGUGAGUGAUGAAGGAAUUCGUUCCGUAAAGCUCUUUUGUUUAUGACGAAUGUGCAGAUUGUGAACAAUGAUCUGUAAUGACGGUAGUAAACGAAUAAGCCACGGCUAACUACGUG
rnacentral:rRNA from 1 species